ACGUAAUAGAUACCCUGGUAGUCCACGCCCUAAACGAUGUCUACUAGUUGUUGGUGGAGUAAAAUCCAUGAGUAAACGCAGCUAAACGCGUGAAGUAGACCGCCUGGGGAGUACGGUCGCAAGAUUAAAACUCAAAGGAAUUGACGGGGGCCCGGCACAAGCGGUGGAUUAUGUGGAUUAAAUUCGAUGCAACGCGAAAAACCUUAACCUGGCCUUGACAUGCCACUAACGAAGCAGAGAUGCAUUAGGUGCCCGUAAGGGAAAGUGGACACAGGUGCUGCAUGGCUGUCGUCAGCUCGUGUCGUGAGAUGUUGGGUUAAGUCCCGCAACGAGCGCAACCCUUGCCAUUAA
rnacentral:rRNA from 1 species